GAUGAACGCUAGCGGCAGGCUUAAUACAUGCAAGUCGAGGGGUAACAUGGGUAGCAAUACCUGAUGACGACCGGCAAACGGGUGCGGAACACGUACGCAACCUUCCCAUAACUGGUGAAUAGCCUUCCGAAAGGGAGAUUAAUACACCGUAACAUAACGAAGCGGCAUCGCUUUGUUAUUAUAGGCUUCGGCCGGUUUUGGAUGGGCGUGCGCCUGAUUAGGUAGUUGGCGGGGUAACGGCCCACCAAGCCUGCGAUCAGUAACUGGUGUGAGAGCACGACCAGUCACACGGGCACUGAGACACGGGCCCGACUCCUACGGGAGGCAGCAGUAAGGAAUAUUGGUCAAUGGACGAAAGUCUGAACCAGCCAUGCCGCGUGAAGGAUGAAGGCCCUCUGGGUUGUAAACUUCUUUAUCUGGGACGAAAAAGCUCAUUCUUGAGCACUUGACGGUACCAGAGGAAUAAGCACCGGCUAACUCCGUGCCAGCAGCCGCGGUAAU
rnacentral:rRNA from 1 species